UAGGGAAUCUUCCACAAUGGGCGAAAGCCUGAUGGAGCAACGCCGCGUGUGUGAUGAAGGGUUUCGGCUCGUAAAACACUGUUGUAAGAGAAGAAUGACAUUGAGAGUAACUGUUCAAUGUGUGGACGGUAUCUUACCAGAAAGGAACGGCUAAAUACGUGCCAC
rnacentral:rRNA from 1 species